GGCGGAAGUAGUAGCAUGGAGUGGAUGCGGCGGAGUUUUGCCGCCUAAUGAGGAUAUUUAAAUAUGCUUAUACUUUGGCAGGACGGAGAGGAACAGGGGCCAUCGAAGGGACAGGAACGUCCCGAGCGCGCAGCCCAUUUUCAGCCCAUUUUCAGCCCGAUUACAGGAUUGCCCACGAUUAAGACCUGUCAGACUGACCAGAUUCCACAGAAUGGAUAAGUGAUUACCUUCUCAUCGAGCUACAACUCAUUUUCACCCUCAUUCAAGAUAUAUCAUCUACAAGAUUUACCACCCUCCUACUGAAUAUACUACCAAGUUGACGAAUUUUUUGGUGAGAUCCAUCCAUUUACUUAUGAAUUGUAUAGUGCACUAUACUUUGGACUAUUAUUAGGACUGGAAUAUAUAUACAUUUUUUCUUUUCUUCUGUUUUCUUUUUCUGCUUUUUUCUUUACUUUUUUUAUAUUUUUUCUGGACACUUCAUUUUUAUUCAUUCAUUUUUUGGAUCAACCACCAGUGUAAAUAGAUAUAGAGCUCAUGAAAUUCAGCACAGGGAGGUUUUUUUGUGUAUAUAUGUCAAUAAUCUAUGUAU